CCCCCCCCCCCCCCCCCCCGCCGUCUCCCAGUCCAGCCCUCUCUCUUCCUUUCCUUCCCCCCUCCUCUUCGCCCUGCUCGCGGGGCAACACGAGCCAGGCUGGCGGCGGCGGCGGCGGCGGCGAGGGAUGGCCUCGUCUUCCCACCUGGAGAAAGCGGGGAGAAAAACAGCCUCAGAGAGACCCUGUCCCAGUCCGGAGCGGUGCACUGUUUUUUUUUUUCUCAGAAGGAAAACGUGUCCCGAAGGUUCUGAAUUCACGUGUGCUUAAAAAACGAAUCGGUGUCCGCAUUUCAGAAGGACUUCUCUCCGCGUUUAAAGAAAACGUGCUUUACCGGCAAGGGAGAGGAUUGCUGGAGGAGGGCAACAUUCCCCAGUGGGGCCUGUCAGAGAAGGAAAGAGGCUACACCCCUUAGGUCAUGGCACACAGAUAUCCAUACUCCAGACCUCUGACACCUGCAGGUGGCCCCAUUCCCGAACAGGAUGGCUGGAGAAAGCCUACUGCCAGAUACCGUUAUCAGAGGGUGCACACAGAUAUAGUCUCAGCUGUGUGAGCCCAGUGUUUUUGUCAAAUAUACAGCCUUCUCUCCAGGAUCCUUCUCAGAGGGAAUACUCUCUUGUCUCAGGUGAGGCUGGCUGACUACAGCCCUGGAUGGCUGGGAACACCUCACUAACCACUUCUUGAAUCCCCAAACAUUAAAAACAAUUCUGAUUUUUAAAAUAAACUCGACACGUUUGUGUGGGUGGUAAUUGUG
rnacentral:lncRNA from 1 species